rnacentral:tRNA from 1 species
CGCGGGGUGGAGCAGUGGCAGCUCGUCAGGCUCAUAACCUGAAGGUCAGAGGUUCGAAUCCUCUCCCCGCAAC